AUUGAACGCUGGCGGCAGGCCUGACACAUGCAAGUCGAGCGGAUGAAGGGAGCUUGCUCCUGGAUUCAGCGGCGGACGGGUGAGUAAUGCCUAGGAAUCUGCCUGGUAGUGGGGGAUAACGUCCGGAAACAGGCGCUAAUACCGCAUACGUCCUGAGGGAGAAAGAGGGGGAUCUUCGGACCUCACGCUAUCAGAUGAGCCUAGGUCGGAUUAGCUAGUUGGUGGGGUAAAGGCCUACCAAGGCGACGAUCCGUAACUGGUCUGAGAGGAUGAUCAGUCACACUGGAACUGAGACACGGUCCAGACUCCUACGGGAGGCAGCAGUGGGGAAUAUUGGACAAUGGGCGAAAGCCUGAUCCAGCCAUGCCGCGUGUGUGAAGAAGGUCUUCGGAUUGUAAAGCACUUUAAGUUGGGAGGAAGGGCAGUAAGCUAAUACCUUGCUGUUUUGACGUUACCAACAGAAUAAGCACCGGCUAACUUCGUG
rnacentral:rRNA from 1 species